UUUUUCGGUCAUGACAAGCUGUGGCCUCACCAAGCAUACCUCACCCUGAAGUCUGGCUGGGAAGGAGAUCGCAGCGUGAUGGAGAGGAAACGCAUUUAUGUGCUCAGGAGGAAGACGAGAGAGAGAAAAGGAAGGUCAGGAGGGGGAGAAUCAAGAUGCCAAGGAGGGGCCAAGGCUGUUGAGCUCUCAGGAGGGGUUGCCCUUGGGCAGGUGGGGACACCAGAAGCUGUGAGGACUCAGAGGUUAACUGCAUGGUUAGCCACUGCUGACAGCUCAGGAGACACUCCAGUGAAGGACCCUCAGGAUGCAACUCUUGGAUGCUGUAGGUCUCCUUGUCCUUUCUCCUGCUUGAGCCUUCUACCCUCUUGCUCACUCAGACUAAAGGAGAGAGGAAGAAUGUCCCCUCUGGCUCCUCCUCUCACAGGUCCAGGAAGGCAGGAGGGGCAGCCUGCCAACCCAGCACAUCAACCUUCCCCUGGCAAAGGUCAGCCUGCCUGGAAUAAGGAAGUACCCACAGCCGGGAAAGGUAAAUCCAAACCCAAAAAUACAGAAACGAAGCAUUUCAAUCAACAGGGGCCUGCAGCGUCCUUGCAGAGUGCUGUUUAUGAGGCAAUAAGCCAUUUAAAUGCUCUGUUUUGGAACCCACAAGGUCUCCUUGAACAGCUUAUGAGGAGAUACUGCUAAUCAGAGCUCCAGAAGGACUGGAGAGCGAGACUGGGACACCACAGCCUCGGAGCUGCAGAUUUCCUCGGGGUUGGGGUGGGGAGGCUGCCAGGGGGAGCACCAGCACUGCAGAGGAGGCUACGAGGUGGGUGCCCUUGGGGAAGCCUCCAGGGUUCAGGCAGGGCAGCAUGAAGCAUGGGUACUAAAAGUCAAUCUUGUGCCCUCUGCAGAUUGUGAGGCAGAGAGACAUUUUUUUUUUUUUUGCUAUGGGCAGCAAGAGAGAGGGCUAUAGUAUGAUGGUUAAAAGCCUGGCAUGGGUCCUGAGCUUAAAUCCAGACUCUGCCAUCUGUCUGCUAUCUGACCAUGGUAAAUGUAGGUACUCUCUCUGUGACUCAGUUUGGUCACCUGUCAGAUGGGGAGGAGAGGAAUAAUAGGCCUGUCUUAUUGCAGUUUUGAUGCUUAAAUAAGAUAAUACAUAUUAUGCACUUAGCAGGAAGCCUAGCACAUGGUAAGUGCUCAAAAAAAAAAAUGAGCUAUUAUCAAGAAUGUUACCACCAUAACCAUCUCUUCCCAUCUAUCCUUUUCCCAGCUUCAAAGACAGCAAGGGUCCCUAGGGGAUUAACACAUAUUAACUGGACACCUAUGUCUGGGAAGGUGAUAUGACAACACAAAUUCCAGGUCCAGAUCAGCUCUCACAGCUGAUGGAGGGAAAGGGCAGAAGCUGGAGAGAGUAAAGCGGCUGAUGCCAAGUGAACCACCUGAAAAUGGCCUCACAGGAGGGCCAUUGGUUAGUGGUCCCUUCAGGGCAGCGCAUCGGGAACUCUCUGACAUAGGAACUGGCAAAGCUAGACAUGACCACACACCCUUUUGUAGAAGGCAAAAUAGUUGGGAGAGGGUCUCAGUUUUGAAUAUCUAUCAUCACCCAUAAGAAAUACAAUGUUCUCGGGAGUGCCCUUUGUGGCUCAGCAGAAAUGAAUCUGACUAGUAUCCAUGAGGACUUGAGUAUGAUUUCUGCCCUUGCUCGGUGGGUUAAGGAUCCAGCGUUGCUGUGAGCUGUGGCGCAGGUCACAGAUGUGGCUCGGAUCCUGUGUUACUGGGGCUGUGGUGUGGGCUGGCAGCUACAGCUCUGAUUAGAUUCCUAGCCUGGGAACCUCCAUAUGCCAUGGGUGCAGCCCUAAAAAGACAAGAAAGGGAGGAAGAAAGAAAUACAAUGCGCUGAUGUUAAAAUGAAGAUGUGGAUUUGGAGAACAGACUGGUGGUUGCCAAGAGGGAGGGGGAGGGGAAGGGAUGGACUGGGAAUUUGGGGUUAAUAGAUGCAACCUAUUGCCUUUGGAAUGGAUAAGCAAGGGGAUCCUGCUGUAUAGCACUGGGAACUAUGUCUAGUCACUUGUGAUGGAGCAUGAUAAUGGGAGACAAAAGAAUGUAUAUAUGUAUGUGUGACUGGGUCACUUUGCUGUACAGUAGAAAAUUGACAGAACACUGUAAAGCAGCUAUAAUGGAAAAAAAAUAAAAUCAUUAAAAAAAAAAGAUGUGGAGAAAAGGUGGUGCCAAGAGGCCAACUGGUUCCCAAGAGGGUUUCCCAGGAAACAGCACCCCCUUGGUAAAUUUUCCCAGGUCUGAGACUCCCUCAUCAGUUUCCACACUCGAUGUUGUCAUCAGGCUGAGGGUGGAUUAUCUUUUAGGGAUAGACUAAUACCAACAAAAGUAAUAAAACCCUGAUAUAUAGAGCAGAAUGCUAAUUCUUUCUCCCUUUCUAAUAUUUAAUAAAUGCCUAC
rnacentral:lncRNA from 9 species